rnacentral:lncRNA from 1 species
GCACUGGAACAACACAGAUGAGAUAUUCUACACAUUAAUCUACUUAUCUGGAAUCACUUUGCCUCUAAAGGCCAGAGAAAAAUCACAGCUUCCUUGUCGGAGGGGAAAAGGACAGGUGAUCUGGGGAAAACGCAGCUACACCUGGAGCAAGGUCUCUUCCCGGCUUGGCAAUCUCAGCUGUGCCGGCGCUACGGGACCCGAGCCGUCCCAGAAACCAAAGGGCAGGCACGGCAGCAAACGCCUGAGGUAUGCUGCCUUCGGUGACUAUAUGAGAAUGGAAACUUCUAAGGAAGCCAGGUUGUUAGAAUUGUUACCCCCUUUACUCAGAGAUAACAUAGAUUAUCCAGGCUGAGAUGGAAAACAAGCCCUUUAUUGAAUUUUCAACACAGACUCCCUGCUUCUCAUCUCCUUAAUAAAAUUUCAUUAAAAUCCCCUUGAACUCCCAUGUUCAAAUCUCCAUUUGUUGACAGACAAAGCCAACAAUACUCUAAACUGAGGCCUGCAAGUCAUUUCAUUUGUAUUUUUGUCCAGAAAUUUCCCAUAGGAAGACUUCACCUCCUACAACUCCGAAGAAAACCCUUACUGUCCAAGACCGUCACCAGCAACCAUCCGCAGUCAUUCAAGUGGAAGCUUUCACAGCUUUUGUACAUUCUCUGUGUCAAUAUACAACUGAGUUACAGACUGUCCCCUGGCUCCCUGACCCUUACAAACACUAAAAGUUUUGUUUGACUCAACUUCAAGCUGCUCAUCUGUUAGUAAGUGAUGUUCACUCCAGAACACAUUCAUGAUGAGAACUUUCUAAAAGACCAGCACUGCUCUUCCCCUCCUAUAAUCAUAAUAAUCAUGAUAACCUGAAACAUGUUACUGGGACUCGACAUUUUUCUGGGGAUUGAAAUCUUUAGUCCUUGGAGCUGUCACAUAGCAGGGGCAACCUCACACUGAAACAAAGGAAGUGAUGUCCCAUUAUUAUCCACCCUGAGCCACCAUAAUAUGCUGUUUACAUUUAUUUUCUUCAGCCUGUGCAAAACAAAGCAAUGGAAAAGGAAACUAAAAAAUAUACAUACUAGUACCAUUAUCUUCUUUUGCCUAAAAUUACUAAUGCACCACGUCAGUCUGCUUCCUUCAGGCAUCAUUCUCAAUUCAUCAGGACUUGUAUUAGCAGGUUCUGGCUAGAGAGACUAUCUCCUGUCAUCACGAUCAAUUAAUGUUUUCUGGUGAUCACAUCAGGCCCUAUCUAAGAAGCUCAUGGUAUACAAGGGUCACCCAAAUAGCUGAGUGCAGUCCUUGCUCAUAUUUCCUUCAUCUUAACCCCGCAAACAAGAAUUAAGAUGAUCCCAAUAAAAGAAAAAUUGCUCAGGAAACUGAACCUUUUUCUGAACCAAGCACUGUCAGCAAAUCUCAGGUAUUAGAGCAACUAUGGUUGAUUGAAAAGUGUCUCAAAAUCUGGGCCAAGAAUGAUUGCUAGGUCCAUAAGCUAAUUUGUCUGGCCUUGCCAUUUACGUAAGCCAAAGAAAGUCACUCAUGAGUAAACUAUAGAAAACGUUCAGACCCAUCCUGUUAGUAUGUCAAAUCAACUAAGACUGGCAGGGUAUUAACUCCAUUCCAGGUGACAUGGAUAAAGAGCCCCAUUAUUUUCACAGUGCCAGCCUCUACCUAAGGAAACCCUAGACCUUGGAACCAGUUUCCUGGUAGGGAACUGCUGACAGUUUCAAUGCUGACAGUUGGAGCCAAUGCCUCAUAGUGUAAACUGAAAGAAAAAUAGUUGCUUUUUAAAAUGUCAGCAAGAAGGCCUGCCUCAUCUUAACAAAGCAAAAAAAAAUGCUUUAAUUCAAAUUAAAAAUCAUGAUACUAGAGAUGGGAGUCUGUGGUCACUAUAAAGAUAAAGUUCAUGUUCUUGGUUCAGAUAACAAAACACUUUAUCUGGAUAAAUGGACCUCAAAAUUUGCUCUUGGCACAUGGGGGAAAUUUUUUGUUGUAUUUUGUUGUUGUUGUUGUUCUUGUUGUUAUUGUUUAAAUUAAUCUUCCUAAGGCCAUGAAUAUGAAAUCAUAUUAAUAAUGCAUGUGACAAAAUUCUAAAAUAUAUUACACUUAAAAUUAGCAUAAACCAUCAACUUUUAGUACUCAUAUAUUGCAGUCAAAACUCUUCUAGGUAAUGAGACCUGAACAGAAGGAUCCAUUUAUCUGUGGUCUUGCUCUUUGUCUAAGUUUCUCGAAAGCAUUAGGACAAUGACAUAUACAAAAACUGGCAAUUACAUUUAAUAAGAAAAAUGUGGGGAGUGCAUUCUUAAUAUUUGAUGCUAAAACCAUAUCUUUGCUUUAAACAUGUAAAGCAGUAUAACAUGGUGGUUGGUAGAAACUCUGGAGUCAGGCCACCUGGGUUCACAUCCCAGCUCUGACUCUUAAUUGUUAGACCCUGAGCAAGCUACUUAACAGCAUUAUGCCUCAGUUUCCUCCUAUAUAAAAGGGUGCCACACACAGUAACUACCUCCUAGGCUGGUGUGAAGAUUAAAUGGGCAAAUACAUGCUUAGAACUGAGCCUAUUAUAUGGUGACUGCUCAUUAAAAGAAAAUUGUCGGGAGGGAUAGCAUUGGGAGAUAUACCUAAUGCUAGAUGACGCGUUAGUGGGUGCAGCGCACCAGCAUGGCACAUGUAUACAUAUGUAACUAACCUGCACAAUGUGCACAUGUACCCUAAAACUUAAAGUAUAAUUAAAAAAAAAAAAAAAAGAAAAUUGUCAGCUAGAAAUGGUGGCUCGCCCCUUUAGUAAUCCCAGCCCUUUAGAAGGCCAAGGAUCACUUGAAUCCAGGAGUUUGAGACCACCCUGAGCAACACAGCAAGACCCCAUCUCUGCAAAAAAGAGAAACAAAUAAAUAAAUAGCUGGGCAUGGUAGCACACACCUGUAGUCCCAGCUACUUGGGAGGCCAAGGUGGGAGGAUCACUUAAGUCCAGGAGUUGGAGGCUGCAGUGAGCUAUGGUUGUGCUAUUGCACUCCAGCCUCAGUGACAGAGUGAGAUCCUGUCUCAAAGAAAAAAUUGAAAAAACAUAAAUAAAUAGAAAUAAAAUUGUUUUUAUUAGGAUUAAGCUCACUGCAAUAAAUAUACACAAUAUUGAAAAUGAAGGUGAAUUCCAUGGAAUACUAUGCAGCCAUAAAAAAGGAUGAGAUCAUGUCCUUUGCAGGGAGAUGGAUGAAGCUGGAAACCAUCAUUCUCAGCAAACUAUCACAAGGACAGAAAACCAAACACCGCAUGUUCUCACUCAUAGGUGGGAACUGAACAAUGAGAACACUUGGACACAGGGCAGGGAACAUCACACACGAGGGCCUGUCAGUGGGUAGGGGGCUGAGGGAGGGAUAGCAUUAGGAGAAAUACCUAAUAUAAAUGACGAGUUGAUGGGUGCAGCAAACCAACAUGGCACAUGUAUGCCUAUGUAACAAAUCUG